rnacentral:misc_RNA from 1 species
ACGUAGCUAUAUAUUGCUGUGUGAGUGAGUGAGUGAUUAUGUUGGGAUUGGGUGCGUGAUUCCGCACAUAAACUGUAAGGUAAAUAUGUGUUGAGUAUUCUUCGUUUUCCAAUUUUUUCGAUUCAGUACAGUAUAUGCAGCUAUGCAUCUGUCUGAAUUUUGAGUCAGUAUGCUCGUGUGUGCACGGUCCAGAUUGAUCGUCGAUCCAUGAAGCAUCUGUACUGUCA